GAUGAACGCUAGCGGCAGGCUUAAUACAUGCAAGUCGUGGGGCAGCAGGUUUGUAGCAAUACAGAUGCUGGCGACCGGCAGACGGGUGCGGAACACGUACACAACCUUCCUUUAAGUGGGGAAUAGCCCAGAGAAAUUUGGAUUAAUACCCCGUAACAUUAUGAUGUGGCAUCACAUUAUAAUUAUAGCUACGGCGCUUAAUGAUGGGUGUGCGGCUGAUUAGGUAGUUGGCGGGGUAACGGCCCACCAAGCCUGCGAUCAGUAACUGGUGUGAGAGCACGACCAGUCACACGGGCACUGAGACACGGGCCCGACUCCUACGGGAGGCAGCAGUAAGGAAUAUUGGGCAAUGGAGGAAACUCUGACCCAGCCAUGCCGCGUGGAGGAUGAAGGUCCUCUGGAUUGUAAACUUCUUUUAUAUGGGACGAAAAAGGGUCUUUCUAGGUCAACUGACGGUACCAUAUGAAUAAGCACCGGCUAACUCCGUGCCAGCAGCCGCUGUAAAAC
rnacentral:rRNA from 1 species